AUGGCGGCGGAGCCCACCAAAAACGACGCCCACGUCGUGGAGAUCCCGGUCACCGGCGACGGAGCGGAGCCAGCCAGCGGCGCGUUCCCCGGCAUGGCGGCGUCGGGGCACCACCCGCUGGGCGAGAUCGCCGACAGCGGGGGCCACCUGCUGCUGCUCAAGCUGUGGCAGCGGGAGGAGUCCCGCCUGAACCGCCGCGCGUGCGCGCUCGAGGCGGUCAUGGACGCGGCGCGGCGGGACGCCUUCUACCUCUGCGCGGCCUUCCUCGCCCUCCACGGCCUCUCCCUCGCGCUCCUCUUCGCCGCCUCCGUCGCGGGCGGCGCCCCGUCGCGCGCCUGCAGGAGGUGGUGGGCGCCCUCGUCCCUCUCGCUGGCCGCCUCCCUCGCGCUCGCCGCGGCCGUGCAGCUCCGCGUCUGCGCCUACUGGCGCGCCGCGCGGCGGCUGCGGCGGGAGCGCGGCGACGCCCGGGCCCUCGCGCGGUGCGUGCAGGAGCUGCGCAUGAAGGGCGCGUCCUUCGACCUGUCCAAGGAGCCGCAGUGCGGGGUGACGAGGACCAACUGCGCCAGCGUCGAGGGCGCGGGGGCGUGGGGCCCGCUCCGGUGGUGCUACCGGAACGUCGUCACCGCCUGCCUCCUCGCCGUCGCCGCCGUAGCCUUGCCCUCCGGCAAGCUCAUCCUGUGCGCCUAG
rnacentral:rRNA from 1 species